GCUGGGCGGCGCCGGACUGGGCAGUGGCGGUGAAGGCGCCGGGCUCGGCGGCUCCGGAGAAGGCGGCGGGCUGGGUGGCGCAGGCGAAGGCGGCGAGGGAGAUGGAGGAGAUGGCGAAGGAGGUGCCGGUGAUGGCGGCGGGCUGGGUGGCGCAGGUGAAGGCGGCGAGGGAGAUGGAGGAGAUGGCGAAGGAGGUGCCGGUGAUGGCGGCGGGCUGGGAGGUGUCGGGCUGGGAGGUGUCGGGCUGGGAGGUGUCGGGCUAGGCGGUGUCGGGCUGGGAGGCGGUGGGGAUGGAGGAGCAGGGCUAG
rnacentral:lncRNA from 1 species